rnacentral:rRNA from 1 species
AGAGUUUGAUCCUGGCUCAGGAUGAACGCUAGCGGCAGGCUUAACACAUGCAAGUCGAGGGGCAGCGGGGAGGAAGCUUGCUUUCUCCGCCGGCGACCGGCGCACGGGUGAGUAACACGUAUGCAACCUGCCCCUGUCAGGGGGACAACCCGCCGAAAGGCGGGCUAAACCCGCGUACAUGCCACCGGGGCAUCCCGGAGGCAGGAAAGGCUUCGGCCGGACAGGGAUGGGCAUGCGGCGCAUUAGGCAGUAGGCGGGGUAACGGCCCACCUAACCGACGAUGCGUAGGGGUUCUGAGAGGAAGGUCCCCCACACUGGUACUGAGACACGGACCAGACUCCUACGGGAGGCAGCAGUGAGGAAUAUUGGUCAAUGGUCGGGAGACUGAACCAGCCAAGCCGCGUGAGGGAGGAAGGUACAGAGUAUCGUAAACCUCUUUUGUCAGGGAACAAAGGCGGGGACGUGUCCCCGGAUGAGUGUACCUGAAGAAAAAGCAUCGGCUAACUCCGUGCCAGCAGCCGCGGUAAUACGGAGGAUGCGAGCGUUAUCCGGAUUUAUUGGGUUUAAAGGGUGCGCAGGCGGUCUGUUAAGUCAGCGGUCAAAGCCCGGGGCUCAACCCCGGCCCGCCGUUGAAACUGGCAGUCUCGAGUUGGAGAGAAGUAUGCGGAAUGCGCGGUGUAGCGGUGAAAUGCAUAGAUAUCGCGCAGAACUCCGAUUGCGAAGGCAGCAUGCCGGCUCCACACUGACGCUGAGGCACGAAAGCGUGGGUAUCGAACAGGAUUAGAUACCCUGGUAGUCCACGCAGUAAACGAUGAAUGCUGGCUGUCCGGGGGGACUGACCCCUGGGUGGCGAAGCGAAAGCGAUAAGCAUUCCACCUGGGGAGUACGCCGGCAACGGUGAAACUCAAAGGAAUUGACGGGGGCCCGCACAAGCGGAGGAACAUGUGGUUUAAUUCGAUGAUACGCGAGGAACCUUACCCGGGCUCAAACGGGGAGUGACUCAGGCAGAGACGCCUGUUUCCCACGGGACACUCCCCGAGGUGCUGCAUGGUUGUCGUCAGCUCGUGCCGUG